GUCAACUUAAGUUACACAACAGAUAGUCAGGUUAUUGAAUCCACUGAGAAAAAUGGGAUUCCCAUUGGACAACAGGCUGGUUCUACCUGGAUAUACGUAUACCCAGAAGGACUUCGAGAAAUGGUGUUCUAUAUAAAGAGAAAUUACAACGAUCCUGCUAUUUAUAUCACUGAGAAUGGAAUGGCAGAUAAUUACUCCAUGUCAAUUAACGAUUUACUGAACGAUAGCCUGAGAAUAAAAUAUCACUAUCUUCAUCUAUCUUAUCUCCUACAAGCCAUCAAGGAAGGAGCUGAUGUAAGAGGGUAUUAUGUAUGGUCAUUUCUGGAUGAUUUCGAGUGGGAAUUUGGUUACACAUUUCGAUAUGG
rnacentral:misc_RNA from 1 species